UCAGUGAUAUAAAUUUUUAUCAUGUAAUUCAUUAGUAAUUAUAUAUUAUAAAUUAAGUUGGUGGGUAAGAAGAGUAAAAAGGAAGAGAUGGAUAGGAGAAAAAGAUGUCAGAAGCACAACAAAGGUGGAGAAGGAAAAAGGAAAAAAAAGGAGAAAAUAAAGAAGAGUGAGUGAUGGAGGUGGAGUAGGAGAACGAGGAUAUGGCGAAGACAAAAGGAAACGGUAGUGACGAUGGCAAAGGAAUAGGAAGAGGGAGGAGGAAUUGGAAGAGAAAAAUAGACAAAAAAAACGAAGAAGGAUAACGGAGGGGAAAGAAAAUAUGUUGAAUUGUGACAUUUACCUUGUGUAUAUGUGAUUACAAUAAUUAGUGCUUUCUAAAUAGAUUAAAAUCUACGAACUAAUUUGACCCACAGGUUUAGUUUGAAAAAAAUAAUUUUUUUUAUACGAAUCAAUUUUCAAUUUGUCUUAUUUGAGUUGAAUCCGUAUGAGUCGGAUUGACUCACCAAUCCACCUACUUUAAUUUAAUUAUUUAUUAUUUUUAUUUUAAUAAUAUUAGUUAACAUUUGUAUUAUAAAUGAGAAU
rnacentral:lncRNA from 1 species